AGCAGCCGCGGUAAUUCCAGCUCCAAUAGCGUAUAUUAAAGUUGUUGCAGUUAAAAAGCUCGUAGUUGAAUUUCGGGAUCAAUUUAUCGGUCGUGCCAAUGGUAUGAACUGGUACAAUUGGUUUCUCCCUUCUGACGAAGCAUGAUGUCAUUAAUUUGGUGUCGUGGGGAAUCAGGACUGUUACUUUGAAAAAAUUAGAGUGUUUAAAGCAAGCAUUAGCUUGAAUACAUUAGCAUGGAAUAAUGAAAUAGGACGUUUGAUCCUAUUUCGUUGGUUUCUAGGAUCGACGUAAUGAUUAAUAGGGAUAGUUGGGGGCAUUAGUAUUCAAUUGUCAGAGGUGAAAUUCUUGGAUUUAUUGAAGACUAACUACUGCGAAAGCAUUUGCCAAGGAUGUUUUCAUUAAUCAAGAACGAAAGUUAGGGGAUCGAAGACGAUCAGAUACCGUCGUAGUCUUAACCAUAAACUAUGCCGACUAGGGAUCGCAUGAUGUUAAUUUUGUUAAUGACUCA
rnacentral:rRNA from 1 species